CCGGCCCCCAAAGGCACGUGCCGUUGGCCAAGCCCUCGCGGCGGACGAGCCGCGCGGGCCGCCUUGAAGUACAAUUCCCACCGGGCGGCGGGCUGAAUCCUUUGCAGACGACUUAAAUACGCGACGGGGUAUUGUAAGUGGCAGAGUGGCCUUGCUGCCACGAUCCACUGAGAUUCAGCCCUUUGUCGCUCCGAUUCGU
rnacentral:ncRNA from 1 species